rnacentral:rRNA from 1 species
GACGAACGCUGGCGGCGUGGAUUAGGCAUGCAAGUCGAACGGUAUCAUCCUUUCGGGGGUGAGAGAGUGGCGAACUGGUGAGUAACACGUAGGUUAUCUACCCUCAAGACGGGGACAACCCAGGGAAACUUGGGCUAAUACCGGAUGUGAGCAACUUUUAGUUGUUUGAAAGGUGGCGUAAGCUGUCGCUUGGGGAUGAGCCUGCGUCCUAUUAGUUAGUUGGUGAGGUAACGGCUCACCUAGGCAAUGAUAGGUAGGCGGCCUUAACGGGUGUCGCCCACACUGGGAUUGAGAUACGGCCCAGACUCCUACGGGAGGCAGCAGUCGAGAAUAGUCUACAAUGGUCGGAAGACUGAUAGUGCGACGCCGCGUGAACGAUGAAUCCCUUCGGGGUUAAAGUUCUUUUAAUGUGAGCAGUGCUUCUUAUAUUAACAGUAUGGGGAAGAGAUAUUAGCAUAUGAAUAAGCAACGGCUAACUCCGUGCCAGCAGCCGGGU